GGGAGCGUGAGCUGGGAACGUGGGAGCGGCGAGCCGAGCCCGCACCGCAGGGGGCGUGUGAGCCAGAAACGGGGCCCUGUCAUUGGGACACGGGCGCCGGCCUGAGCCGGGAGGGCGGGCGGUCGUCCUCGCCUGAGGGGCGGGCAGCUGGCCGUGGAACCCGGGCCCCUUCCGCGAGGGCCCGGCGGGAGCCGGGAGAAAGGUGCGAGGCGCCAGCGGUGGGCUUGGCCAGUGCCUGGGCCCUGCCGCCGCCGGGCUCCUAAUUGUUUUUAAUUUGAGGAUAAUGACAAUAUCCUGAUUUUCCUACCCAACACUUUGGCUUCUGAAGUGACAUUUAUCUAAAAACUGCUGCAUUGUUCCAGGUAAUUUUAACAAAACGUACAGAUUUGUCAGCAGAACUAGACUUAGAAAUGACAUGAGAGGAAGAACAAGAAAAAUCUGAUGGAGAAGAAAAUAACCAUUCACAGGUCAAAGCACAGAUUAAUGACGUGAGCUACCUGAAUGACUGAACUCAGUCAUCUGAAAGUGCUUCCCAGGAUGGUGAUGUCUUCACUCUGAGAUUUCCACAUUGCAAGUAGAACCGCUUGGCUUGAGGUAUAAAGAUUGACCUUAAAGCAAGAAGAAGAGAAUAGAAGAAAUGCUGACAUGUUAUAUGAAAAAAUUAGGGAGCAGUUAAGAAGAAAGGAAGACCAAUAUAGUAAAGAAGCUGAAAUGAAACAGCAACUUGAACUCACUCUCAGAGCACUAGAUGGAACUGAAGACUGAGAAAUGAUCUGAAUCAGGUUAUGGAAGUGUACCAUGACGCUCAGAAGCAGCUUUCUGGAGAACGGAAUGCCAGAAGCUUACAGGAGGGAAUCCUGGCCAAUCACCUUGCCAAAGAAAAGCAGAAAGAAAUGGCUGAUAAGGAAAUGAACUCUUAGACAUUACAAAAAGGUAUUGAAAGUUAUGGAAGCAGCAAAUAAUCUCAUGGUUGUCUAAGAAGAGCUCUCCAAGUUUUACCUAUCACCAUCUGUGUAUGCACUGUGAGUGAAGUAAGAGGCUUAUUCUGUGUUGAUGUGUUUGCACCAGAGAAGUGGCCGUGGUCUGAUGUACGAAGACAGGUGGAGUUGGAAGACCUGCUGCUUAUUAUAUUUCUAGCUUCUUCCUUCCCAGAGUCGUUAUAGCUGAUGAGCUAACUGAUGUUUCUGUAGAAGUGCUUAGUGCAGCUGUCAAUAGGUUUAAUUCUUGUAAUUGACUAUUAAGAUGUUAGAACAGUAACAUAUUCUCAAGAAAAAAACUUUUCACAAAAUGAAAUCUGUUUAAAUAUGUACAGAGCUAAGGCUCUUAUUGUAGGGCAGCUGCACAGGUUAGGGAUCAGAUGUAUAGUUUUUAAAGCUAGCAAGUGGUGGUGUGUACUGGAGGUAUUUCUCAUAUUUGUUGGGAUAGUUUUAUUUUUAUUCAUGUCAAUUUGAAUUAAUUUGGGAAACAUUUCAUCAUUGAAUCAUUUAUUUUUAUAGCCUCUCAACUGUUUCAAGGCAUCUACUUCUAAUACAAUCAUAAUUUGGAACUCAAGUGGUGAGCUUUACCCAAACUCUUCUUGAUUUUAUCUUCCAUCUGCUAUUUAUGAUUUACUUAGAACAUUUUUGCAAACGAUUUGUUGAUAGUUCUCAUUUUGAGGGUCAGUUACUAUCGUUUAGGUACACGCUUGUCCACUAAAACUGAAGGAUGGCAGGAUUCAUGAGCAGCAGGAAUGGAGGGAGUCAGGGACAGGGUUGUAGCGGCUGCAUUCCGAAGGCAGCUGUAGGCCGGGUUUUUGAGGCUCCUUGAAGGCAUGGGAGCAACCUCAUUUUUUAAAUUUGAUGUUUCUUUUAUAUUGCAAUAUAGUUGAUUUCCAAUUUUGUGUUAGUUUCCUCUGCAGGGGAGAGCUAGUGAGCCUCGGUCUGUCUGGAACAUUCCUGAAUCCUUCGGGGAUACACUCUGUGUGUCAAGCUGAAUACCAGACCUAGGGGGCAAAAUUUGCAUUUUUCUCUCAGGGAGCCCUAACGUGGUGUGGCCUAGCCACUGCUUGAAAAUCCAUCAAAUUGCUGUUUCCUUCCUUCUGACAGAGCUAGCUUUGCUUCCCCCUUUGGGAUUUCUGAAGCAAGGGGGCAGCACGAAACACCUCACCUGUGAUCCAUUUGAGGUGCAAGGUCACCUUGACCAGGUGACCACAGUAUGGAACCUGGCCCUCUCAGACACGCUCCCACAGCCUGCUUCCUCGUGGGCAGUACUGCUAUGACCUAGGAAUGUGUUUGCAAGGCUCGAAAAGUGCAGGGAGACACGCAGCCCUGACUUUGCAAUUUAGGCCCUUGGAUCAGGCCUGGAGGUCUGACGUCUGAGAAGUGAAACACUUGCUGCAAGAUAGAGGCCUGGAAACCCUCUCUGGGGCUGCCUUUCCUGGCUCCAAGGAAGACAGCUUCCCUAGCCGCCUGUGGGCUGAGAGUCACACACGGCUGGAAAGCGCUUGCUUGGAGGUCAUUUGUCAGUGGCAGUGGCCCCCGAGCCCCGGUGCCUAGGGAGGGGUCCCACACUCAAAGGGAAAGUCAAAGCGACGUCCAAACGUCUGUUCCAUCAUGUUUCCUCUGCAGGAGAGAUCUAGUGAGCCUAGGUCUUUCUGGAACAUUCUUGGAUCCUAUGGGGACACACUCUGUCAAGCUGGAUCCCGGUCC